rnacentral:rRNA from 1 species
UACGUAUGGUGCAAGCGUUAUCCGGAUUUACUGGGUGUAAAGGGAGCGUAGGCGGCGCGUUAAGUCUGAUGUAAAAACCCGAGGCUCAACCACGGGAGUGCAUUGGAAACUGGCGGGCUGGAGUGCCGGAGAGGUAAGCGGAAUUCCUAGUGUAGCGGUGAAAUGCGUAGAUAUUAGGAGGAACACCAGUGGCGAAGGCGGCUUACUGGACGGCAACUGACGCUGAGGCUCGAAAGCGUGGGGAGCAAACAGG